AUGCUGACGAGUGGCGAACGGGUGAGUAAUACAUCGGAACGUGCCCGAUCGUGGGGGAUAACGAGGCGAAAGCUUUGCUAAUACCGCAUACGAUCUACGGAUGAAAGCGGGGGAUCUUCGGACCUCGCGCGGACGGAGCGGCCGAUGGCAGAUUAGGUAGUUGGUGGGAUAAAAGCUUACCAAGCCGACGAUCUGUAGCUGGUCUGAGAGGAUGAUCAGCCACACUGGGACUGAGACACGGCCCAGACUCCUACGGGAGGCAGCAGUGGGGAAUUUUGGACAAUGGGCGAAAGCCUGAUCCAGCCAUGCCGCGUGCAGGAUGAAGGCCUUCGGGUUGUAAACUGCUUUUGUACGGAACGAAAAGCCUUCUUCUAAUACAGGAGGGUCAUGACGGUACCGUAAGAAUAAGCACCGGCUAACUACGUGCCAGCAGCCGCGGUAAUACGUAGGGUGCAAGCGUUAAUCGGAAUUACUGGGCGUAAAGCGUGCGCAGGCGGUUUUGUAAGACAGAGGUGAAAUCCCCGGGCUCAACCUGGGAACUGCCUUUGUGACUGCAAGGCUGGAGUGCGGCAGAGGGGGAUGGAAUUCCGCGUGUAGCAGUGAAAUGCGUAGAUAUGCGGAGGAACACCGA
rnacentral:rRNA from 1 species